GAGUCUGUUUUGCCCAGCAUCAAAGUAGCAUUUGUUUUUCCACUUCAAAUAUGCCUUCUAGAGUUUGACCACAGACAAUGUCUCUCAAUCUCUUACAAU